GGGAGAGAUAUCAUACUGCUCUUGCAAGUUGUAAAGUACCAUCACAAAGCAAAUGCUAUUCUAGUCUUCUCCUAAUCUACUUCUUAACCAAAUUAAUUUCCUAAUGUAUGUGUAAUGCCACUGCAUUAUGCCCCAGGCAAGGAUGUGGCCACAUCUAUCAUAUGGGCUAACAUUGUACGUGGUGGAGUUAAUGGGUGUAAGCCCCUGGAUUGUGCAACAAAUAUUUCAUGGGGUGUCGAAAUACGUUUUCACAUUCUGUCCAAAAAUAAUAUUUUACCAAAAAGUUCAACUGCUAGUGCUAUAAAAAAAAAAAAAACAUUUACUGGGUUAUUCAAAAUAGC